CAGCAACUUCAUUUCCACACACGACUUUUGGGCCUACACAAAGUUCUUGUUUUUUGUUUUUUGGCACCUUUUUUUUUUCCUUGAUGAAAAUGGCGUUUGAGCAAUAUGGCAAUCUCACUGAACUUGGAGUCUCUUAUAACUGUAGUGACGUGUGUAGUCCAAGUCUUGUUUUUUUCUUAGGGCAACUUUAUUUGGUCUUGCAACUCCAACAUUUUCAGCAUAGGGUUACUUUUCGGUAUGUAGUUAAGCAAUAACAAUUCAUGCGUAUCAAUACGUUAAAUUAUUUCUCUUAUUUUAAAUAUAUGUACAAACAAUAUUUCGUAUGAUGUUUCUGCAGUUACUUAUUCUCAUAUAUUGAUUACGUAAUGACUCAUUUAUAUAUAAG
rnacentral:lncRNA from 1 species